CAGAACGAACGCUGGCUCCAGGCCUAACACAUGCAAGUCGAGCGCCGUAGCAAUACGGAGCGGCAGACGGGAGAGUAACACGUGGGAACGUGCCCUUUGGUUCGGAACAACCCAGGGAAGCUUGGGCUAAUACCGGAUAAGCCCUUACGGGGAAAGAUUUAUCGCCGAAGGAUCGGCCCGCGUCGGAUUAGCUAGUUGGUGAGGUAAUGGCUCACCAAGGCGACGAUCAGUAGCUGGUCUGAGAGGAUGAUCAGCCACACUGGGACUGAGACACGGCCCAGACUCCUACGGGAGGCAGCAGUGGG
rnacentral:rRNA from 2 species